UACGUAGGGUGCAAGCGUUGUCCGGAAUUAUUGGGCGUAAAGAGCUCGUAGGCGGUUUGUCGCGUCUGCUGUGAAAACCCGAGGCUCAACCUCGGGCCUGCAGUGGGUACGGGCAGACUAGAGUGCGGUAGGGGAGAGUGGAAUUCCUGGUGUAGCGGUGAAAUGCGUAGAUAUCAGGAGGAACACCCGUGGCGAAGGCGGCUCCUCUAUCUC
rnacentral:rRNA from 1 species